rnacentral:rRNA from 1 species
AACGAACGCUGGCGGCAGACUUAACACAUGCAAGUCGAGCGAGGACUUCGGUCCUAGCGGCGGACGGGUGAGUAACGCGUGGGAACGUGCCCUUUCCCCCGGAAUAGCCCAGGGAAACUUGGAUUAAUGCCGGAUACGCCCUUUUGGGGAAAGAUUUAUCGGGGAAGGAUCGGCCCGCGUUGGAUUAGGUAGUUGGUGGGGUAAUGGCCUACCAAGCCGACGAUCCAUAGCUGGUUUGAGAGGAUGAUCAGCCACACUGGGACUGAGACACGGCCCAGACUCCUACGGGAGGCAGCAGUGGGGAAUCUUGGACAAUGGGGGCAACCCUGAUCCAGCCAUGCCGCGUGAUCGAUGAAGGCCUUAGGGUUGUAAAGAUCUUUCAGCUGGGAAGAUAAUGACGGUACCAGCAGAAGAAGCCCCGGCUAACUCCGUGCCAGCCGCCGCAGUAA